UGGGUGACUGUCCUCACAGACGAGCAA
rnacentral:piRNA from 1 species